UGGGCCGAAAGGGGGGGGUCUNCUGGGUACCGCUGAGGGNGCGGAAAANCUUUNGAUUACCAGUUNCAUGCCUUUGGGCCGCUUAGGUGUGGGGACUUUUUCACCGGUUUCCGCCGCCGUAGCUAAACGCAUUAAGCGCCCCCNCCUGGGGAGUACGGCCCGCAAGGCUAAAACUCAAAGGACGGGGGGCCCGCACAACGGCGGAGCAUUUGCUUAAUUCGACGCAACGCGAAGAACCUUACCAAGGUUUGACAUCACCCGUGGACUCGCAGAGAUGUGAGGUCAUUUAGUUGGCGGGUGACAGGUGGUGCAUGGCUGUCGUCAGCUCGUGUCGUGAGAUGUUGGGUUAAGUCCCGCAACGAGCGCAACCCUUGUUCCAUGUUGCCAGCACGUAAUGGUGGGGACUCAUGGGAGACUGCCGGGGUCAACUCGGAGGAAGGUGGGGAUGACGUCAAGUCAUCAUGCCCCUUAUGUCUUGGGCUGCAAACAUGCUACAAUGGCCGGUACAAUGGGCGUGCGAUACCGUAAGGUGGAGCGAAUCCCUAAAAGCCGGUCUCAGUUCGGAUUGGGGUCUGCAACUCGACCCCAUGAAGGUGGAGUCGCUAGUAAUCGCGGAUCAGCAACGCCGCGGUGAAUACGUUCCCGGGCCUUGUACACACCGCCCGUCACGUCAUGAAAGUCNNCAACACCCGAAACUUUCUAACCCCUGGGACGCCAUUCUGAAGGNUCACCCCCUUGACAGGGGGGAAGANCUCUUUCC
rnacentral:rRNA from 1 species